GCAAUGCUGAGGAGUCCCAUACUAGGACGAAACGGCCGUCCACUGC
rfam:Schistosoma curassoni strain Dakar, Senegal genome assembly, scaffold: SCTD_contig0028857